rnacentral:rRNA from 1 species
GUGGGGAAUUUUGGACAAUGGGCGCAAGCCUGAUCCAGCAAUGCCGCGUGCAGGAAGAAGGCCUUCGGGUUGUAAACUGCUUUUGUACGGAACGAAACGGUCCGGGUUAAUACCCUGGGCUAAUGACGGUACCGUAAGAAUAAGCACCGGCUAACUACGUGCCAGCAGCCGCGGUAAUACGUAGGGUGCAAGCGUUAAUCGGAAUUACUGGGCGUAAAGCGUGCGCAGGCGGUUUUGUAAGACAGGCGUGAAAUCCCCGGGCUCAACCUGGGAAUUGCGCUUGUGACUGCAAGGCUGGAGUGCGGAAGAGGGGGAUGGAAUUCCGCGUGUAGCAGUGAAAUGCGUAGAUAUGCGGAGGAACACCGAUGGCGAAGGCAAUCCCCUGGGCCUGCACUGACGCUCAUGCACGAAAGCGUGGGGAGCAAACAGGAUUAGAUACCCUAGUAGUCC